rfam:Nematostella vectensis strain CH2 x CH6 NEMVEscaffold_37_Cont6311, whole genome shotgun sequence.
GAUGAAUGCUAAAGACUGGAAGACAUUUUAAAAAAAACCAUGUCUUGGAGAGAACAGUAGGGA